AGUGAACGCUGGCGGUAGGCCUAACACAUGCAAGUCGAACGGCAGCACAGUAAGAGCUUGCUCUUACGGGUGGCGAGUGGCGGACGGGUGAGGAAUACAUCGGAAUCUACUUUUUCGUGGGGGAUAACGUAGGGAAACUUACGCUAAUACCGCAUACGACCUACGGGUGAAAGCAGGGGAUCUUCGGACCUUGCGCGAUUGAAUGAGCCGAUGUCGGAUUAGCUAGUUGGCGGGGUAAAGGCCCACCAAGGCGACGGUCCGUAGCUGGUCUGAGAGGAUGAUCAGCCACACUGGAACUGAGACACCGUCCAGACUCCUACGGGAGGCAGCAGUGGGGAAUAUUGGACAAUGGGCGCAAGCCUGAUCCAGCCAUACCGCGUGGGUGAAGAAGGCCUUCGGGUUGUAAAGCCCUUUUGUUGGGAAAGAAAAGCAGCAGGUUAAUACCCCGCUGUUCUGACGGUACCCAAAGAAUAAGCACCGGCUAACUUCGUG
rnacentral:rRNA from 1 species